rnacentral:rRNA from 1 species
UACGAAGGGGGCUAGCGUUGCUCGGAAUCACUGGGCGUAAAGGGUGCGUAGGCGGGUCUUUAAGUCAGGGGUGAAAUCCUGGAGCUCAACUCCAGAACUGCCUUUGAUACUGGCGACCUUGAGUCCGGGAGAGGGUGAGUGGAACUGCGAAGUGUAGAGGUGAAAUUCGUAGAUAUUCGCAAGAACACCAGUGGCGGAAGGCGGCUCACUGGCCCGGUACUGACGCUGAGGUGCGAAAGCGUGGGGAGCAAACAGG